GGCUGGUCCAAGUGCAGUGGUGCUGCAACAAAUUGAUCACAACCAUUUACAGAUUUAUUUGUUCCUUUUCUCCUCCCACUGCUCCACUUGACUGGCCUUAA
rnacentral:Y_RNA from 1 species